rnacentral:lncRNA from 1 species
AGCAACUUUGAGAUGUAGCAAACGCUCCAGUUUCUUUAGUUCACCUGACCUAACCUGAAAGGUCAAGUGAGCUUUUCUCAACACUUGGCGUCCGUCGUCCGUAAACUUUUACUAAAAUCUGGUGUUUUUUUGGGAAAUUGAGCAUGCAGUUAGAAACAAUUUGACAUGUGUAGCAUGUACGUAUGAAAAUACUAAAUGGAAUCGUGGGGAAACAAAAAUGUGGAACCGAAGCCCCUGUUGAACAUUAUGUUAAAGAUUUCUCUGACUCCUGCAAAGUUCAAGAAUUCCAUAUGAAUACAAAAGGACAGAGUGGCAGUGUGUUGUGGUAGGGUUGCAUCAAGUUAAAAUUUCCCUUAGUAUCGUACAGCUUUUUUUUUUAAAACUUCCCUCCGACUCAUUAUCUGAAUAGUUAUAUUUAAAAUAAAAUUUAAGAUUGCUAUUUUUACCUCCUUGGAUCCUGACUUUUCAUAGCAGUUGUCCGUAAACAACCAAUUGAGAUAAUGGGCCUAAACGAUCAAUGUUUUUACAGUAAAAUAAAGCAUAAUGAAAUAUGCGUUUACGUUGUAGU